rnacentral:rRNA from 1 species
UGGCGCACGGGUGCGUAACGCGUAUGCAACCUACCUUAAACUGGGGGAUAGCCUUCCGAAAGGAAGAUUAAUACCGCAUAAGAUCACACGAGGGCAUCUGAGAGUGAUUAAAGAUUUAUUGGUUUAAGAUGGGCAUGCGUGCCAUUAGCUAGUUGGUAGGGUAACGGCCUACCAAGGCUACGAUGGCUAGGGGUUCUGAGAGGAUGAUCCCCCACACUGGUACUGAGAUACGGACCAGACUCCUACGGGAGGCAGCAGUAGGGAAUAUUGGGCAAUGGGCGAAAGCCUGACCCAGCCAUGCCGCGUGCAGGAAGAAGGCCUUCUGGGUUGUAAACUGCUUUUAUAUAGGAAGAAAAAACUCUUGCGAGAGGAACUGACGGUACUAUAGGAAUAAGCACCGGCUAACUCCGUGCCAGCAGCCGCGGUAAUACGGAGGGUGCAAGCGUUGUCCGGAUUUAUUGGGUUUAAAGGGUGCGUAGGCGGCCCGGUAAGUCAGUGGUGAAAGCCUCCAGCUCAACUGGAGAACUGCCAUUGAUACUGCCGGGCUUGAGUACAGACGAGGUUGGCGGAAUUGAUGGUGUAGCGGUGAAAUGCAUAGAUACCAUCAAGAACUCCGAUUGCGUAGGCAGCUAACUAGGCUGUAACUGACGCUGAGGCACGAAAGCGUGGGGAGCGAACAGGAUUAGAUACCCUGGUAGUCCACGCUGUAAACGAUGAUGACUCGAUGUUGGCGAUAAACUGUCAGCGUCUUAGCGAAAGCGUUAAGUCAUCCACCUGGGGAGUACGCCC